GCUUGUCUCAAAGAUUAAGCCAUGCAUGUCUAAGUAUAAGCCUUUGUACGGCGAAACUGCGAAUGGCUCAUUAAAACAGUUAUAGUUUAUUCGAUAAUCAAUUGCUACAUGGAUAACCGUGGUAAUUCUAGAGCUAAUACAUGCUAUCAAGCCCGACUUCUUGAAGGGUUGUAUUUAUUAGACUUAAGCCAAUAUUCCUUGUGUCUAUUGCGAUGAUUCAUAAUAACUGAUCGAAUCUCAAAUUUGAGAUAAAUCAUUCAAGUUUCUGCCCUAUCAGCUUUCGAUGGUAGUGUAUUGGACUACCAUGGCAGUAACGGGUAACGAAGAAUUAGGGUUCGAUUUCGGAGAGGGAGCAUGAGAAACGGCUACCACAUCUAAGGAAGGCAGCAGG
rnacentral:rRNA from 1 species